UACGUAGGGGGCAAGCGUUGUCCGGAAUUAUUGGGCGUAAAGCGCGCGCAGGCGGUCUCUUAAGUCUGAUGUGAAAUCUCGCAGCUUAACUGUGAGCGGUCAUUGGAAACUGAGGGACUUGAGGACAGGUGAGGAGAGUGGAAUUCCACGUGUAGCGGUGAAAUGCGUAGAGAUGUGGAGGAACACCAGUGGCGAAGGCGACUCUCUAGUCUGUAUCUGACGCUGAGGUGCAAAAGCGUGGGUAGCAAACA
rnacentral:rRNA from 1 species